GACAUAGAUGACCUUUAACCUGUCA
rnacentral:piRNA from 1 species